rnacentral:rRNA from 1 species
CCUACGGGAGGCAGCAGUGAGGAAUAUUGGUCAAUGGACGAGAGUCUGAACCAGCCAAGUAGCGUGAAGGAUGACUGCCCUAUGGGUUGUAAACUUCUUUUAUAAAGGAAUAAAACGAGGCACGUGUGCCUUUUUGCAUGUACUUUAUGAAUAAGGAUCGGCAAACUCCGUGCCAGCAGCCGCGGUACUACGGAGGAUCCGAGCGUUAUCCGGAUUUAUUGGGUUUAAAGGGGGCGUAGGCGGAGUUUUAAGUCAGCGGUAAAAUGUCGGGGUUCAACCCGGGCCGGCCGUUGAAACUGGGGAGCUUGAGUGGACGAGAGGUAUGCGGAAUGCGUGGUGUAGCGGUGAAAUGCAUAGAUAUCACGCAGAACUCCGAUUGCGAAGGCAGCAUACCGGCGCCCGACUGACGUUGAGGCACGAAAGCGUGGGGAUCGAACAGGAUUAGAUACCCCUGUAGUC